AGCAGCCGCGGUAAUUCCAGCUCCAAUAGCGUAUAUUAAAGUUGUUGCAGUUAAAAAGCUCGUAGUUGAAUUUCGGGGUCAGUAGGUCGGUCGUGCCACUGGUAUGAACUGGUUUUACUGAUUCCUCCCUCUUGAAGAACUGUAAUGCCAUUAAUUUGGUGUUGCAGGGAAUCAGGACUGUUACUUUGAAAAAAUUAGAGUGUUUAAAGCAGGCUUUAGCUUGAAUACAUUAGCAUGGAAUAAUGAAAUAGGACGUUUGAUCCUAUUUUGUUGGUUUCUAGGAUUGACGUAAUGAUUAAUAGGGAUAGUUGGGGGCAUUAGUAUUCAAUUGUCAGAGGUGAAAUUCUUGGAUUUAUUGAAGACUAACUACUGCGAAAGCAUUUUGCCAAGGAUGUUUUCAUUAAUCAAGAACGAAAGUUAGGGGAUCGAAGACGAUCAGAUACCGUCGUAGUCUUAACCAUAAACUAUGCCGACUAGGGAUCGGAUGAUGUUAAUUUUUUAAUGACUCA
rnacentral:rRNA from 1 species